CCUACGGGUGGCAGCAGUGGGGAAUAUUGCACAAUGGGGGAAACCCUGAUGCAGCGACGCCGCGUGAGUGAAGAAGUAAUUCGUUAUGUAAAGCUCUAUCAGCAGGGAAGAAAAUGACGGUACCUGAGUAAGAAGCCCCGGCUAACUACGUGCCAGCAGCCGCGGUAAUACGUAGGGGGCAAGCGUUAUCCGGAUUUACUGGGUGUAAAGGGAGCGUAGACGGCAGCGCAAGUCUGGAGUGAAAUGCCGGGGCCCAACCCCGGAACUGCUCUGGAAACUGUGAAGCUGGAGUGCAGGAGAGGUAAGCGGAAUUCCUGGUGUAGCGGUGAAAGGCGUAGAUAUCAGGAGGAACACCGGCGGCGAAGGCGGCUUACUGGACUGUAACUGACGUUGAGGCUCGAAGGCGUGGGGAGCAAACAGGAUUAGAUACCCGAGUAGUC
rnacentral:rRNA from 1 species